rnacentral:rRNA from 4 species
CCGUGAUCCGGGUUGCGGACAGUGUCUGGUGGGUAGUUUGACUGGGGCGGUCUCCUCCUAAAGAGUAACGGAGGAGCACGAAGGUUGGCUAAUCCUGGUCGGACAUCAGGAGGUUAGUGCAAUGGCAUAAGCCAGCUUGACUGCGAGCGUGACGGCGCGAGCAGGUGCGAAAGCAGGUCAUAGUGAUCCGGUGGUUCUGAAUGGAAGGGCCAUCGCUCAACGGAUAAAAGGUACUCCGGGGAUAACAGGCUGAUACCGCCCAAGAGUUCAUAUCGACGGCGGUGUUUGGCACCUCGAUGUCGGCUCAUCACAUCCUGGGGCUGAAGUAGGUCCCAAGGGUAUGGCUGUUCGCCAUUUAAAGUGGUACGCGAGCUGGGUUUAGAACGUCGUGAGACAGUUCGGUCCCUAUCUGCCGUGGGCGCUGGAGAACUGAGGGGGGCUGCUCCUAGUACGAGAGGACCGGAGUGGACGCAUCACUGGUGUUCGGGUUGUCAUGCCAAUGGCACUGCCCGGUAGCUAAAUGCGGAAGAGAUAAGUGCUGAAAGCAUCUAAGCACGAAACUUGCCCCGA